UAGCAUAUCAAUAAGCGGAGGAAAAGAAACCAACAGGGAUUGCCCUAGUAACGGCGAGUGAAGCGGCAACAGCUCAAAUUUGAAAUCUGGCUCUUUCAGGGUCCGAGUUGUAAUUUGCAGAGGGCGCUUUGGCUUUGGCAGCGGUCCAAGUUCCUUGGAACAGGACGUCACAGAGGGUGAGAAUCCCGUACGUGGUCGCUAGCUAUUGCCGUGUAAAGCCCCUUCGACGAGUCGAGUUGUUUGGGAAUGCAGCUCUAAAUGGGAGGUAAAUUUCUUCUAAAGCUAAAUACUGGCCAGAGACCGAUAGCGCACAAGUAGAGUGAUCGAAAGAUGAAAAGCACUUUGGAAAGAGAGUCAAACAGCACGUGAAAUUGUUGAAAGGGAAGCGCUUGCAGCCAGACUUGCUUGCAGUUGCUCAUCCGGACUUUUGUCCGGUGCACUCUUCUGCAGGCAGGCCAGCAUCAGUUUGGGCGGUGGGAUAAAGGUCUCUGUCACGUACCUCUCUUCGGGGAGGCCUUAUAGGGGAGACGACAUACCACCAGCCUGGACUGAGGUCCGCGCAUUUGCUAGGAUGCUGGCGUAAUGGCUGUAAGCGGCCCGUCUUGAAACACGGACCAAGGAGUCUAACAUCUAUGCGAGUGUUUGGGUGUCAAGCCCGAACGCGUAAUGAAAGUGAACGGAGGUGGGAACCCGCAAGGGUGCACCAUCGACCGAUCCUGAUGUCUUCGGAAGGAUUUGAGUAAGAGCAUGGCUGUUGGGACCCGAAAGAUGGUGAACUAUGCUUGAAUAGGGUGAAGCCAGAGGAAACUCUGGUGGAGGCUCGCAGCGGUUCUGACGUGCAAAUCGAUCGUCAAAUUUGGGCAUAGGGGCGAAAGACUAAUCGAACUAUCUAGUAGCUGGUUCCUGCCGA
rnacentral:rRNA from 2 species